rnacentral:lncRNA from 1 species
AAAAAAAAAUAACCACACCUUCUCGAUCCAAUUUCAAUAGUUGGAGAUAAUUAAUUAAUAAUAAGAUAUGAUAUAUGAUAUGAGUAUUGAUUGCUAUUUAAUAAACAAAUAAAUAAUCAAAUCGAUUUGAUUAUACUUGCAUCCCAUAUUGCAUCGUUUUGCUUUGAGUUCCAAACGUACAAAGGUUCAGAUUUUUAAUUGCUUCCCAAGAUUGCAAAACAAAGUUUAAAUAAUUCAGAGUAGCUAUUGACAAAAGACUCAGAUUGAUUGAAAAGACCAAAGGGUUCUUCAACAAAUGAAUUAACAAAUUGACUUGGGUUUGUGGGUUUGGCUGCCAUCCCGGAGGGUAUAGCAUGCCUUUCACUAAGGAGAGGGAGGUGCAGCAGGGGGGUCCAGUUUUGCCUGUGUUUUCCGGCAGGCAUGUUAUUCCUGGGUUUGUAUUCUGCAAAAAUCCCCAUAUCAUUUUGGACUUGGUGUUGGGAACUGAAUCUGGAAAAUGAUGAACGACAAAGAUAUGGAGAGCCUAAGAAAUUCUUUUGCAUUUAAGAAAUUAGAAGAAAAACAAAAGUAUGUAAAUAAGAAAAAUUAUAAAUUGAGAAUAUCAUAAAUAUUAUGUUUUGAUGACGUGGCUACGUCACAUCAUCUGUCACCUAAUAUGGUUUCUAAGUGGUUUACCAAAAAUGUAGUUUAUCUUGCGUUACUGUAUUGUUAUGCGACCUAUAACUAAGGCUGGCUCCAUUAAGAUCAGAAAUUGCUCAAGUGCAAUAUUCUGCGAUGAUCAGGAUUAGCUGCAGCUAGCUAUCAAGCUUUACGAUAUGCAACAUAUAUGUACGUUAGCUUAGCUAGCUAGUUGCUUUUUUGUAUUUGAGAUCAUGAAAUAUGGGAGAUAUAUAUGAUCAUUGUCUUGUAUUAACCAGAAUAUUUCAUCAUUUGUUAGGUAAUUAAUUCUAGUAUAAUUAAUAACAAAUAUACAUAAUACAUGAUGUAUAUAGGAAGAGACACAGAUUGGCGGGGGCAUACUGUCGAGUUUACAAGAUCAUAUAAAUGCCUCUGAAAAGACAAGUAGUCACAAGACAAAGGUACGUAAAUUACUCUAUAGCUAAACGUCCUACGUAUUCUACCAUGCACUAAUUGAGUGCGCAUUUUUACUACAAUGCCUAUGUACGACUGUUGAUAGACUUGAUAGACUUGCACAAUUGAUCUUCUGUUUACCAUAAUUUGUAGGCUACUUCAGCAGCAGAGUGGAAAUUUCUACUUGCUGGCCUCUGCCUGGAGAUAAUCUCACUUGCUUUAGAUCAGGUUUCUUCCCCAACGAAACCCAGUUAUGCACUAUGUGGACUCUUGUUCGCAUUUGCUGCUCUAGUCCUCUGCCUCUGGGAACUGAUUCACAAGGAUAGAAAGGAAAGAGCUAAACUGAAGCGGGUCGGAAUGCGUUGGUUUCACGAUCAUCCCCGAUCUUUUUAUGCAGUUUUGGGCAGUACUUCUGUCAUAUAUGGAUUAGUUGGUGGCAUCAGUCAGUGUGUUUGCUCGAUUGUUCAGUACGUUUUCUUCCUUCGCCACGGGGAUAAUCCUAUCAAAGCAUCACUUUUGCCUGCCGUCUUUCUUAUAUGUUUGGCUGCUAAAAGAUUAAUAUCGAACCCGAGGUAUGCGAGUGAAUAAGAUGAAGCUAGCUCCUUACCUAUGGGUUGACGCCGAGCUAGCUAGCUAUGAUGCUCUCUGUAGUAACCUAGCUAGAAUGGUUCUUCUCUCCAAGUAUGAAUUUGUCAGUAAACUUCUAGGUCUUCUAAAGUUUAAACUAUCUCCAUUACCCAUUACCCAAAGGCCCGCCCCGGCCCCCUCCCCCGCGUUUUGUUAGCAGGAAAGUAAAAAUAGGAAAUAGAUUUAUUUUCCUUUCUAAUCAGAUAUGGAAUGGAACAUGUUUUUGUAUUUUCAUAUAGGUGUUUGGUACAUAUUGGAAAUUAAAUGAUGUAAUCAAGUAUAUUAAUUCCUAUUGUAAUGUUUGGUAAGUCAUUAUAAUGAAAUACAAAGUUAUAUUUUUCGAUAAUACCCUUUUAUAAUUUCCAAAUACUUGCAAAUUAACAUUUAUUAGAGGAUAAUUUAUGUAAUUGUGGCUUUGACAGUGGGAAUAGAACUGGAAUACCACCCCUUAACAAAGUAAUUGAAUUCAUGUUUUAUGAGGGAGUCAAUUUCUAGUCAGAUCUCUUUUUUGUUUCUUUUUUUGUCUCUAUGUUCAACCAAUCAAUCCCUUGGAAUGGAAAAUCAAAUUAAUUAUUUUCUCAUACUAUGAUUUCCUGCCAAUCAAAUAGGGCUAAAAAGACAAAAAACUAUCUCUAUUGGUUGGUUGAACCCUAAUUAAUCACAAUAAUCCAAUUUUUCACCACAAUACUUACCGUACAUACUUAUAAGAAAAAUGAUGGAAAUCCAGUUCUAGCUAGCAGUCUCUCCAAUCAUGCAUGCUUCAUGCCUGCAUGCACGUAAACAACAUGAGAUCGUUUAAAUCUGAAUCUUUGUAUGAUCCAAUUAUCGAAUCCGUAUAGCGUCAAGCAUAUCUUUGCAACUAGAACGCGUAGUGAUGAAUUGCAUUCUCAAAAAAGAAAAUAAAAGUAAAAAUGCGUAGUGAUUUGUGUUAUUCUUCUAUUUUCGUUGACUCCGCUUUAUAUUCUCCGACCUAAAACACAAGUUGACAUUAACUUACAUGGAAGGAAGCUGGAAAUUGUUGUAUGUGCGCUCUUAUAUACAUUCUCUCGACAUCUCACUGGAUCACUCUGUUUGGCUAUGGAUCCAAUCACCAUUCCUUCAAAAGUCUCUUCCUCUCCGUC